GACUGGGGCGGUACAUCUCUCAAAUAAUAACGGAGGUGUCCCAAGGCUAGUUCAGUGCAGACAGAAACCACACAUUAGAGUUAAAUUGGCCUAAGUCUAUACAUGGAAAGAUUAUAAAUAUAUUUG
rnacentral:ncRNA from 1 species